rnacentral:rRNA from 1 species
CCCUUAGAUGUCCUGGGCCGCACGCGCGCUACACUGAGUGUCUGAGAUACGAGUCUGCCUGGUCCGGCAAGGUCUAGGUAAUCGCUAAAAGACACAUCAUGCUUGGGAUAGAUUAUUGCAAAUAUUAAUCUUGAACGAGGAAUUCCUAGUAAGCGCAUGUCAACAGCUUGCGUUGAUUACGUCCCUGCCCUUUGUACACACCGCCCGUCGCUACUACUGAUUGGAUGUUUAAGCGAGGUUCUCGAACUGCUAGCGACUUAGCUUCGGUGAGGUCGCAGUGUGGGAAGUGAACCUAGCUUUGGUGUCUAGAGGAAGUAAAAGUCGGAACA